rnacentral:rRNA from 1 species
GAUGAACGCUGGCGGCGUGCCUAAUACAUGCAAGUCGAGCGAACAGACGAGGAGUUUGCUCCUCUGACGUUAGCGGCGGACGUGUGAGUCACACGUGUAUAACCUACCUAUAAUACUGAUAUAACUUCGGGAAACCGGAUCUAAUACCAUAUAAUAUAUUUAACCGCAUGGUUCAAUAGUGAAAGUCGGUUUUGCUGGCACUCAUAGACGGAUCCGCGCCUCAUUAGCUAGUUGGUAAGUUAACGGCUUACCAAGGCAACGAUGCGUAGCCGAUCUGAGAGGGUGAUCGGCCACACUGGAACUGAGACACGGUCCAGACUCCUACGGGAGGCAGCAGUAGGGAAUCUUCCGCAAUGGGCGAAAGCCUGACGGAGCAACGACGCGUGAGUGAUGAAGGUCUUCGGAUCGUAAAACUCUUUUAUUAGGGAAGAACCAAUGUGUAAGUAACUAUGCACGUCUUGACGGUACCUAAUCAGAAAGCCACGGCUAACUACGUG